rnacentral:lncRNA from 1 species
CCUCUCAGGCGCCGUUUUUCCAAACUAAACAGAUUUAAUUUUUUUAACCUUUCUUCAUAACUAAAAUGCUCCAUUCCUUUUAUCAAUUUUGUAGCUCGUCUCUGGACCCUCUCCAGUGCCAUGAUAUCCUUCUUUAGAACAGGAGCCCAAAAUUGCACAGCAUAUUCAAGGUGUGGUCUUACCAGCGAUUUAUAAAGAGGCAAAAUUAUAUUUUCAUCCCGAGAAUUUAUGCCCCUAUUUAUACAUGACAAAAUCUUACUGGCCUUAGCAACU